GAUGAAGAACGUAGCGAAAUGCGAUACGUAAUGUGAAUUGCAGAAUUCAGUGAAUCAUCGAAUCUUUGAACGCACAUUGCGCCCCCUGGUAUUCCGGGGGGCAUGCCUGUCCGAGCGUCAUUACAACCCUCAAGCUCAGCUUGGUGUUGGGCCCCGCCGCCCCGGCGGGCCCUAAAGCCAGUGGCGGUGCCGUCCGGCUCCGAGCGUAGUAAUUCUUCUCGCUCUGGAGGUCCGGUCGUGUGCUCGCCAGCAACCCCCAAUUUUUUUCAGGUUGACCUCGGAUCAGGUAGGACUACCCGCUGAACUUAAGCAUAUCAAUAAGCGGAGGA
rnacentral:misc_RNA from 1 species